rnacentral:misc_RNA from 1 species
GAAAACGUGAGACUGCAAGCUUCCCCCCCCCACCCCCUACGCGAUCUCAGAAUUUUUCUUCCCCUGCUUUUUCUUUGCGGAUUAUUGAGAUUUUUCUUUCUCGAUUGAUAGAUACUCUUCUCAAUAAAGGGAUUUAUUUAGUAUUAGACACCGUUUCACUCUUUUUGCCGCUUGGACAUUUUACAAGCAUCUAGAUCUGCAGUUCCCCACUGCUUCAUCCAUAUUACUUCUCAGUUGAUGGAUGAAACAGUUUACUCCCUACUUCUCAGAAGCUAAAGAGGAAAUAAUGGAGGGAGAUAUUAGUAGUGGGGCUGCAGAUAAUCACACGGAAGAUGCUAGCAAAACAGAGGCACAGUUCAAUAGCUUCAAUAUUGAGAGUGAUCAUGUAAAGGAUAACGGAAUAUGUGAGAGUCACGAACAUACAGGUGAUAGCCAUGAUGAUCUUGUACAAAUGCUCGUAGAACUUAAUUUCCAGAAUGAAUAUCUGAAAUCUCAGAUUGUGGGAUGGCAAAGCAUCAACAUAUAUUCUGAUGACUCUGGUCAACAAAUUAAAACGGCUGCACAUGAAAAUGUGGCAAGUGAUAAUUCAGAAGACCUUAAUGAGAAGAUCGAAUCUUUGAAUAGAGAACUUUUAGAGGAAAAGCAAACACGAGGUGCUGCAGAGGUAGCACUAAAGCAUCUUCAAACUCUAUAUUUGGAAGCUGACACAAAGGCCCAAGAGUUGUCUGUCAAAGUUGCUGAAGUACAAAAUAAGAUGGAUCAGGAAAUAAAAGAACGUGAUGAGAAGUAUUCAGAGCUAGACUCGAAGUUCAACAGACUUCACAAACGGGCAAAGCAGCGUAUUCAAGAGGUGCAAAAGGAAAAAGAUGAUCUUGAGGCCCAGUUUCGUGAUGUCAAUGAGAAAUCUGAGCGCGCAUCCUCGCAAUUAUCUGCAUUGCAGCAAGAGUUGGAGCGCAGUAGACAACACGCUCAGGAGGCACUGAAAGCAAUGGAUUUGGAUAGGCAACAGUUAAGAAGUACAAACAACAAGCUCAGAGACAACAUUGAAGAGCUGCGCCGUUCCUUGGCACCAAAAGAGAAUGCUCUGGAGGCAUCACAACAGGCACUUCUAGAGAAAGAGCAGAAGUUAGAAGAGAUGCAAGCAUUACUGCAGGCAGCAGAUGAGAAGAGACAAGCUUCAAUUGAAGACCUCUCUUCAAAGCAUCAGAAGCAAAAAGAGAGUCUGGAAGCCCAAAUUGCUGAGGCAUUGGCUGAAAGAAGCAAAGCAGCUGAAACAAUCUCAUCUCUGCGGACUGUGGUUGCAGAGAAGGAGUUUAAGAUUGCAGAGAUGGAUGCAGCUUCCACUGGUGAAGCAGCAAGACUUAGAGCUGCUUUUGAAACAGUUAAAGGAGACAUUGUUCAUCUGAAAAGUGAACAAGAGAAAGAAAAAGAGAGUUGGGAAACCACCUGCCAUUCACUCAGAACAAAGCUGGAGAUUGCUGAGAGUAACUGCAUCCGUGCCGAGAUUGAAGCGGCCAAAUUUAGAAGUCAACUGGAGUCACAGUUAUCUGCUCAGUCCCAGGUAUUAAACUCAAAAGAGGCUGAAUUGAUGGCGGCCAAAGAAGAGAUCAAUCGCACUCAAAGUGAGUUUUCAUCUUACAAGGCUCGUGCUCACGCACUUCUCCAGCGAAAGGAUGCUGAAUUGGCUGCUGCUAGGGACAGCGAACAACUUAAAGCACUGGAGGAAGCAUUGAAGGAAGUGGAGAAAGAGGUAAUGUCAGUCUCUUCUGAAAGGGAUAGAGCCCUUCAAGAUCUAAAGAGCACCUUAAUUAAUCAUGAGAAGGAACUUUCGGACAGAGAUGAAGCUCUUCGUGCUACAGAGCAACGGAUCAGAAGCAUGGAAAUGAAGUUCAAUUCUGCUAUUUCUGCUCACCAAAAAGAGAAGGAAGCAUGGGAAAUAAGCCUUCAAAAUGUAGAAGAAACAUGGCGAUUGAAAUGUGAUGCAUUUAAAGCAGAGAGUGUGGUUACCUCUGGUGAUAAUGUUCAAAAAGAACUAGAUGACCUCAAACAAAGCUGUAAAAAACUGAAGGAAGAGCUUGAUUCUUUUCGUGACCUUGCUGAUAAGAUGAUUGAGGAGAAGGACAAUGAAAUCUCUAGACUUCUAGACGAUAACGAGAACCUUCGCCACAAACUUCAGUCUGAAUUUUUAGCCGAUCGCAAUGGCAAUUCCAAUACAGUAUAUGACAAGCAAGAUCCUCUGAAUUCGACUACCUCAGCUGCUGAUCAGCAGAUUCUGGUCUUGGCGAGACAACAAGCACAAAGAGAAGAAGAGCUUGCUCAGUCACAACGUCACAUUCUAGCCCUUCAAGAGGAGAUAGAAGAGCUUGAACGUGAAAAUCGUCUCCACAGCCAGCAGGAAGCUAAGUUGAAAGAGGAGCUUAGGAAUAUGGAUAGAUCACAGAAGAGGGAAGGGGUAGAUCUGACGUAUCUUAAGAAUGUCAUUUUAAAACUUCUCGAGACAGGUGAAGUGGAGGCUCUAUUACCUGUGGUUGCAAUGCUUCUUCAGUUCAGUCCUGAGGAGAUGCGGAAGUGCCAACAAGCCUAUCGCUCCUCCAUAGAAGCUCAAGCAAGCCCGUCAAAAGAUACAUCAGGAUCGAGGAGCUCACUGUUUUCUAGAUUCUCAUUCUCUUAACAGCCAAUGAGGGCUGCAGAGAUGCUUCCCAAAUGUUGUCUUAUCCAGCUUCAGUAGAUAGUCUGUAGCAGACGUGGAAGGAGAGAUACAGUAGAGGAAUGUUUUGUGUUCUUAUGUAAUUAACAAAGAAAUGCAAAAGAAGAACAAAACACAAAAAUGAGUAGGCAUCCCUUGUCGUUCUUCACACGAUAUGUAUAUCAAAGGUAUUUCGUUCUUCCUUUUUUUGUUUAAUUGAGUGCAGAGAGAGAAGGAAGAGCACAUUUGAUAGAAAUUGUAAAAUUUUUGCGCAAGGAAACCAAUUGAACUGAUGACUUCCCUAGAACUUCACUAUUAAAA